rnacentral:rRNA from 1 species
GGCUCCCGCAAGGGCAUCUGUCGAGGUGCUGCAUGGCUGUCGUCAGCUCGUGUCGUGAGAUGUUGGGUUAAGUCCCGCAACGAGCGCAACCCUUGUCAUUAGUUGCUACAUUCAGUUGGGCACUCUAAUGAGACUGCCGGUGACAAACCGGAGGAAGGUGGGGAUGACGUCAAGUCCUCAUGGCCCUUAUGGGUAGGGCCUCACACGUCAUACAAUGGCGCAUACAGAGGGUUGCCAACCCGCGAGGGGGAGCUAAUCGGAGAAAGCCGGUCUCAGUUCGGAUUGUCGGCUGCAACUCGCCGGCAUGAAGUUGGAAUCGCUAGUAAUCGCGGAUCAGCACGCCGUGGUGAAUACGUUCCCGGGCCUUGUACACACCGCCCGUCACAUCACGAAAGCUGG